GGUCGGUUGGCUCACUGUUUAGAACGUAGGUCUCGUAACCGAAAGGUCGCGGGAUCGAAUCCCGCUAGAGGCUG
rnacentral:tRNA from 1 species